rfam:Lachnoanaerobaculum sp. ICM7 ctg120007550912, whole genome shotgun sequence.
GUUCUCUUAGUUAAAUGGAUAUAACGAUAGCCUCCUAAGCUGUAAUUGUGGGUUCGAUUCCCGCAGGGAACA